rnacentral:rRNA from 2 species
AUACCGCAUAACAACUUGGACCGCAUGGUCCGAGUUUGAAAGAUGGCUUCGGCUAUCACUUUUGGAUGGUCCCGCGGCGUAUUAGCUAGAUGGUGGGGUAACGGCUCACCAUGGCAAUGAUACGUAGCCGACCUGAGAGGGUAAUCGGCCACAUUGGGACUGAGACACGGCCCAAACUCCUACGGGAGGCAGCAGUAGGGAAUCUUCCACAAUGGACGAAAGUCUGAUGGAGCAACGCCGCGUGAGUGAAGAAGGGUUUCGGCUCGUAAAACUCUGUUGUUAAAGAAGAACAUAUCUGAGAGUAACUGUUCAGGUAUUGACGGUAUUUAACCAGAAAGCCACGGCUAACUACGUGCCAGCAGCCGCGGUAAUACGUAGGUGGCAAGCGUUGUCCGGAUUUAUUGGGCGUAAAGCGAGCGCAGGCGGUUUUUUAAGUCUGAUGUGAAAGCCUUCGGCUCAACCGAAGAAGUGCAUCGGAAACUGGGAAACUUGAGUGCAGAAGAGGACAGUGGAACUCCAUGUGUAGCGGUGAAAUGCGUAGAUAUAUGGAAGAACACCAGUGGCGAAGGCGGCUGUCUGGUCUGUAACUGACGCUGAGGCUCGAAAGUAUGGGUAGCAAACAGGAUUAGAUACCCUGGUAGUCCAUACCGUAAACGAUGAAUGCUAAGUGUUGGAGGGUUUCCGCCCUUCAGUGCUGCAGCUAACGCAUUAAGCAUUCCGCCUGGGGAGUACGGCCGCAAGGCUGAAACUCAAAGGAAUUGACGGGGGCCCGCACAAGCGGUGGAGCAUGUGGUUUAAUUCGAAGCUACGCGAAGAACCUUACCAGGUCUUGACAUACUAUGCAAAUCUAAGAGAUUAGACGUUCCCUUCGGGGACAUGGAUACAGGUGGUGCAUGGUUGUCGUCAGCUCGUGUCGUGAGAUGUUGGGUUAAGUCCCGCAACGAGCGCAACCCUUAUUAUCAGUUGCCAGCAUUAAGUUGGGCACUCUGGUGAGACUGCCGGUGACAAACCGGAGGAAGGUGGGGAUGACGUCAAAUCAUCAUGCCCCUUAUGACCUGGGCUACACACGUGCUACAAUGGAUGGUACAACGAGUUGCGAACUCGCGAGAGUAAGCUAAUCUCUUAAAGCCAUUCUCAGUUCGGAUUGUAGGCUGCAACUCGCCUACAUGAAGUCGGAAUCGCUAGUAAUCGCGGAUCAGCAUGCCGCGGUGAAUACGUUCCCGGGCCUUGUACACACCGCCCGUCACACCAUGAGAGUUUGUAACAUCCAAAGUCGGUGGGGUAACCUUUUAGGAACGCAGACUC